CAUGUCUUUAUGAUUAUAAUUUAAAGUCUGAUCUGCUCCAUGAUUUAAUAAAAUUAAAUAGCUGCAGAAUUUUAACUGUACAAAGGUAGCAUAAUCAAUAGUUUUUUAAUUAAAAGCUGGAAUGAAGGAUUUGAUAAGGUAGUUGUUGUCUCAAAUUUAUUAAAAUUAAAAUUUUUUUUUUAGUUAAAAUACUAAGGAAAAUUUAAAAGACGAGAAGACCCUAUAGAUUUUUAUAUUUUAGAUUAAUUUAAUUUAAAAAUAUAAAUAAUUUUUAAUUAAAGAAUAUUUGGUUGGGGAAAUUAUUAAAUUAAUAAAAUUUUAAUUAUUUUUAAACAAAAAUUAUUGGAUUUUUGAUCUUAAAUUUUAAAUUAUAAGAAUAAAUUACCUUAGGGAUAACAGCGUAAUAUUUUUAGAGAGAUCAUAUUGAUAAAAAAGUUUGCGACCUCGAUGUUGAAUUAAGAUAAAAUUUUAAUGUAGAAGUUAAAAAAUUUUGGUCUGUUCGACCAUUAAAAUCUUACGU
rnacentral:rRNA from 1 species